rnacentral:rRNA from 1 species
ACGGGUGAGUAAUGCCUAGGAAUCUGCCUGGUAGUGGGGGAUAACGUUCGGAAACGGACGCUAAUACCGCAUACGUCCUACGGGAGAAAGCAGGGGACCUUCGGGCCUUGCGCUAUCAGAUGAGCCUAGGUCGGAUUAGCUAGUUGGUGGGGUAAUGGCUCACCAAGGCGACGAUCCGUAACUGGUCUGAGAGGAUGAUCAGUCACACUGGAACUGAGACACGGUCCAGACUCCUACGGGAGGCAGCAGUGGGGAAUAUUGGACAAUGGGCGAAAGCCUGAUCCAGCCAUGCCGCGUGUGUGAAGAAGGUCUUCGGAUUGUAAAGCACUUUAAGUUGGGAGGAAGGGCAGUUGCCUAAUACGUAACUGUUUUGACGUUACCGACAGAAUAAGCACCGGCUAACUCUGUGCCAGCAGCCGCGGUAAUACAGAGGGUGCAAGCGUUAAUCGGAAUUACUGGGCGUAAAGCGCGCGUAGGUGGUUUGUUAAGUUGGAUGUGAAAUCCCCGGGCUCAACCUGGGAACUGCAUUCAAAACUGACUGACUAGAGUAUGGUAGAGGGUGGUGGAAUUUCCUGUGUAGCG